GACAGAGGGUGCAAACGUUGUUCGGAAUUACUGGGCGUAAAGCGCGUGUAGGCGGCUCUGCAAGUCGGAUGUGAAAUCCCACGGCUCAACCAUGGAAGUGCAUUCGAAACUGCAGGGCUAGAGUUCUGGAGAGGAAGGUGGAAUGCUUGGUGUAGAGGUGAAAUUCGUAGAUAUCAAGCGGAACACCGGUGGCGAAGGCGGCCUUCUGGACAGUAACUGACGCUGAGACGCGAAAGCGUGGGGAGCAACCAGG
rnacentral:rRNA from 1 species